rnacentral:rRNA from 1 species
UAAUGGCUGGUACAACGAGUCGCAAGCCGGUGACGGCAAGCUAAUCUCUGAAAGCCAGUCUCAGUUCGGAUUGUAGGCUGCAACUCGCCUACAUGAAGUCGGAAUCGCUAGUAAUCGCGGAUCAGCACGCCGCGGUGAAUACGUUCCCGGGCCUUGUACACACCGCCCGUCACACCACGAGAGUUUGUAACAAGCCGAAGUCGGUGAGGUAACCGUAAGGAGCCAGCCGCCUAAGGUGGGAUAGAUGAUUGGGGUGAAGUCGUAACAAGG